rnacentral:rRNA from 1 species
UACGGAGGGGGCAAGCGUUGUUCGGAAUUAUUGGGCGUAAAGGGCAUGUAGGCGGUUUGGUAAGUUAAAGGUGAAAUACCAGGGCUUAACCCUGGGGCUGCUUUUAAUACUGCCGGACUCGAGUCCGGAAGAGGAUAGCGGAAUUCCUAGUGUAGAGGUGAAAUUCGUAGAUAUUA